GAUGAACGCUGGCGGCGUGCCUAAUACAUGCAAGUAGAACGCUGAAGGAAGGAGCUUGCUCUUUCCGGAUGAGUUGCGAACGGGUGAGUAACGCGUAGGUAACCUGCCUGGUAGCGGGGGAUAACUAUUGGAAACGAUAGCUAAUACCGCAUAACAGUAGAUGUUGCAUGAUAUCUACUUAAAAGGUGCAAUUGCACCACUACCAGAUGGACCUGCGUUGUAUUAGCUAGUUGGUGAGGUAACGGCUCACCAAGGCGAAGAUACAUAGCCGACCUGGAAGGGUGGUCGGCCCAAAUGGGACUGAGACACGGCCCAGACUCCCACGGGAGGCAGCAGUAGGGGAUCUUCGGCAAUGGACGGAAGGCUGACCGAGCAACGCCGCGGUAGUGAAGAAGGGUUUCGAGUCGUAAAGCUCUGUUGUGAGAGAAGAACGAGUGUGAGAGUAGAAAGUUCACGCUGUGACGGUAUCUUACGAGAAAGGGACGGCUAACUACGUG
rnacentral:rRNA from 1 species